rnacentral:rRNA from 1 species
UACAGAGGUCCCGAGCGUUGUUCGGAUUUACUGGGCGUAAAGGGUGCGUAGGCGGUGGGGUAAGUUUGAGGUGAAAGCUCCGGGCUCAACCCGGAAAAUGCCUUGAAAACUAUCCGGCUAGAGGGUUGGAGGGGAGACUGGAAUUCUCGGUGUAGCAGUGAAAUGCGUAGAUCUCGAGAGGAACACCAGUGGCGAAGGCGGGUCUCUGGACAACACCUGAC